GGGGAUUUAGCUCAGUGGCAUGAGCCCCUGCCUUGCAAGCAGGUGGUCAUGAGUUCGAUCCUCGGAACCGCUU
rfam:Cavia porcellus supercont2_41 genomic scaffold, whole genome shotgun sequence.